GGGAAUGUGGCUCAGUGGUAGAGUACUUGCCUAGCAUGCAUGAAGCCCUGUGUUCAAUUCUUCAGUUCCA
rfam:Dipodomys ordii contig_22903, whole genome shotgun sequence.